UACGUAGGUGGCAAGCGUUGUCCGGAUUUACUGGGUGUAAAGGGCGUGUAGCCGGGCUGACAAGUCAGAUGUGAAAUCCGGGGGCUCAACCCCCGAACUGCAUUUGAAACUGUUGGUCUUGAGUACCGGAGAGGUCAUCGGAAUUCCUUGUGUAGCGGUGAAAUGCGUAGAUAUAAGGAAGAACACCAGUGGCGAAGGCGGAUGACUGGACGGCAACUGACGCUGAGGCACGAAAGCGUGGGGAGCGAACAGG
rnacentral:rRNA from 1 species